AUAAACAGAACAGCAAAGUAAAAAAAAGGCAAACAAUGGUUUGUGUUCUCCAUGGCCAUCACUGAGAAAGAUCUAACUAGUGGAUGGUCUUUCAAUUUAACGGAUUCUCUCUAUUACAGAAUAACAGAGGUUCCAAAGGAAUACACUACAUUUAUUUAUUUUUAUUUUUUUUAUUUUUUAUUUUCUUUUUUGUGUGGAUGUCCUAAGUAUCAUUAAGUGCUGUCCCAUAAAUAAAAUUUAAUAUUGUAUUCCCAUUCUGCAUAUGAAAAUGUCACAUUAAAUUGAGAAUUCUUUAAAAAGUGUCUCAUGUGCGAUUAAUAGGAAUAUUAUGCAACUUAAAAAUUUUCUCAAAGAAUAUCUUAAAGUGUAAAUAAACUAAUUGUACAUGUAUGUAGAUAGAUAGAUAGAUAGAUAGAUAGAUAGAUAGAUAGAUAGAUAGAUAGAUCCGCCCUUAUCGCGGAAUGAACUUUAUAAAAUAUUCUGAAUUUAACACAUUUUUCAUAUACGAUGAUGAUAUAUUUUUUUCAAACUGGACACUACAGACAGACGCUAAACCGAAACCGAAUCACGGCGUCUCUUAGCAACGGCGUCUCCACGGCAACAUCCUCCCAGUCCGUCUGUCGAAAAGCUUCAGUAGGAUAAUUAAAGCAACAAAAUCCUCACGCUACGUCACCAGUAAAAGAUAUAAAGCUUUGCUGUGUACAGAAUUAAAGGAUUAUAAAAACCAAUGGAGAGGAGCAAAAUAUCGCGAAUUGUUUAUGAGGCGCGUGACAGAGCUGCAGUGACAGUAAUGCUGUGAUUAAUUCACUAUUAUCUAUCCGUGCAGCCUGCAUUGCUGUGCAAAGAAACCCUGACAAAUAGCGAACACUUUCACUUACCGGCAGGAUGGACCCUGGUGUGCUCAUAUUCUUACUUUACGUCAUGAUAGCUCACGAGCUUGUGUGUGGAUUGAUGCAGUACAGGAGACAAGCAGCCAAACCUAACAAACGCCUGAUGUGGUGCUCCAGUUCCCGUGUCUGUCAUGGAACAUGGAGAGUCAGUAGCCAGCCGGUGACAGGGAGACGAGACUUGAAGAAAACUGGACGUAUUGUCAGGAAAGCGUGACACGAGGGCAGCUGUUGACUUACGAUCCAUAAAUGUGGUUCUUAAUCAUCCUUCCUGCACUGUGAUCAAUCACUGAAGCUAUGCUGACCGCUCACUGCCAGUUCAUGAUAAUAUCAUUUCAACUUUGAUGCUCAAAGUUUACAGUUUUCCUAUUCACUGUAAUUGUGGACAUCUUUAGAGGUUCAUUUUUAGCUAUAGUUCACCUAGAAAUUGAAAUUCUGCCAUUAUUUACUCACCCUCAUUGUCGUUGCAAAUGUAUGAAAACUUUUAAAAACUAUACUUCCUGUGAUUUUUUUUUCGCUGCAGUUACAAUGCUUCAGAAUGGACACAAACAGCACCAUAAAAGUGAUCCAAGUCUUCUGAAGUCAUGUGAUAGCUUUGAGAAAAAAGUCACAGGUUUGGAAUGGCAGAAAAUAAUGGGAGAAUUUUAAUUCAUGAGUGAUCUAAUUCUUGAAGUAUGUUUGUAGAACUACGUUUUUUCUUAGUGAUUUGAAAGCUGCUGUUUUUACCUAAACUGAAUAUAUUGUGUGUGGUUAAUAUGAGUUGUUUUUGCCAAACGUAUAGUUCAGUCCCAUGCAAGCAGAGGUGAUUUGAGAUCUCUGAUCACAUUUACAAUGUAAUGACACUGUGCACUUGAGUAUGGAAAUUAAUCCCAGAUUGCAGCAAUUAAUCUACAUUAUAUCACUUUUGAUAAAAAUCAUCUGCUAAAUGGGUUUCCGAAACACAAUUUGUAUAUUUCUUGUUCAGUUUGCUGUUUCUGCCCUUAUUACAUUUUGUAAAUGAAUUGCAAAUUCUUGUUUUGGAUGUGAUAAGUCUAGUGUACAUGGAAGUUCACGCUAAACCUUUGUACCCGACUGUGUAUUGAGAUUCAUUAAAUAUGCAUUUCAGCAUCAACUAUAAUGUAGUGAUAUUUUUUUCGAGUUGAGGUGUCAGUAUCAGCAGGUUUGGGAAUUAUAGUGUUUAGCAAGCACUUUCAUGUUUCAAUGUCGAACCACUUAACAUUUUCAAAUAUUGAUUUUUGAUCUGUCUCAUCAAUGAGGUUUGAGGAAUACUUCAUGCAAAAAGGAAAAUUUACAAAUUAAGUUUGUUACUUCAUCGGACAGAUUUGGAUAUAUUUAGCAUAACAUCACUUGCUCACCAAUGGAUCCUCUGCAGUGAAUGGGUCCCAUCAGAGUUCAAACAGCUGAAACAUCACAAUAAUCCACACGACUCCAUCAAUUAACGUUUUUUUUUUUUUUUUUUUUUUUUAAGUGAAAAGCUGCAUAUUUGUAAAAAAUAAAUCCUCCAUUAAGACCUUUUUAACUUAAAACCAUAGCUUCUGCUUUUGGAUACAAGUUUGGAUACGGUGGUUUUCCACUGAAUGUUGGAACAUGGCAAGGGAGAUUUGCUUCUACUCAAACACAAGUUGGGUGUUGGCUUGCAAUUGCUGCUCCAAUUAAUCCCAAAAGUGUUACGUUUUUUGUCUUGUUUUCCAGUACAGAUAACACUCUUAAAUUAAGAUACAUUUUCUUAAGAGGCAAAAUAACAAGAUAUUUUUUGUAGUCUUAUUUUCUGAAACAUGUAUCAAAAUGAAGUGAAUUUCGCAAGAAAAAAUAUCCAUCAGUGGGGUUAGAAAAAAUAAUUCUGUUUUCCCUUUGAAUUCAUUUUCUUUCCCCACUCACAGUUUUCUUUAUUAUUAUUUUUUAAGCAUAAAAUCACUUAUUUUGAUGGUUUUGUUUUGAAGUAAAUGUGUCUUGGUUUAAUUUUUUAAUUUAUUUAUUUUUGAUAUUUCCACUGGAAAACAUGACAAAAAUACUGAGUAAAAAACAAACAAACAAACAAACAAACAAAAAACAUUUUUGAAGUGCAGAAUUAUUUAUAUCUUAUUCUUAUAUCUAAAACUAAGGUCUGUGUGAAAAGGCUCGAACCAUUGAUCCUGAGACAAAGAUUGUAGCUGAUACUAGACUUUCUAUUUAGUUUGACUUGUUUUGGUUUGUUUAUUUUUAUCUGCAAAUAUCUUCAACAUGUUGCUUAUGCCAGUUUUGCUUGUUUGUAGGAUGUUUACCCUACAGCAUUUUAGUGGCCUAUAAAAAUUAGUGCUUCUAUGUACUAAGAUGCAAACGAGCAGUUUCCUUUUAAAUAAUAGAGGCUGUUUUUGCUUCAUCUACAUUUUUGCAAAAGACUGUAUGUGUUUAUUUAAUCAGCUUUAAUAAUCAGGUUAUUUACAGCAAUGACCAUUUCAGCAGGUUUGUAUAUUGGCACAUCAGAGGCUAAUUGGACUGUAAAAACAUCUGGUCCUCAGUGCUUUAUUUGUGCUGAUGUCUCUUUGCAGUGGAAAAAAAAAACUCUCAAUAAGCCUAGUGUGUAAUUGUGUGUUCAGGGGAGCUGAGGUGAGAAAACUGUUGAGCUGGUUUAUUUGUCAGUGACCGCACUGGUCAUCCUCAAGUCUCUGAUAUUGUAUGAAGAGACAUUAGACUAUAACAAAGUGAUGCAUCGCACUGGGGGGGUGGGGGGUGGGGGGGGUGGUGUCAUCCAUAUUAUCUACGUCACACCUCUAUACAACAUAACCUCAAUGACAGGCUGCCUUAAAUUUGCCUGUUUCAGUGUACAGGGUUUCAGUCUUCAUAUGAAGUGGAGUAAAAUAUACAUCUCUGAGUAAGUCAUCUUUGAUUUGUACGAUUAAUAUGGUACAUUAAUGAGCAUUGACAUUUAGUUUGUUGCUUGCUAUCUAUUGCAAUCAAUGAAAAUGUAACAAUUAUUUAAAAUAUUUUAAUAAUAAUAAUAAUAAAUUAUCUAAUGAUAUCAUAAUAUCAGUACACAGUAGAAUAUUUAAGACUUGUCUCUUUACUUUCAUUUUGAGGAAUGCAUAACAAUCAGAUGUAAUUUCUUUCAAAUGAAUUGUCAUGCUAUUUUAUUAAACAAGUAACAUGCUGUUAUUUAUCAUACAAAAAGAUCAUCUUUUUUUUAAAUGCACUACCUUAACACAAAGUUUUUGUCUUGUUUUAUCUCUCCAGGUUCGUUGGU
ensembl:lncRNA